rnacentral:rRNA from 1 species
UACGUAGGGUGCAAGCGUUAAUCGGAAUUACUGGGCGUAAAGCGUGCGCAGGCGGUUUCGUAAGUCUGUCGUGAAAUCCCCGGGCUUAACCUGGGAAUGGCGAUGGAGACUGCGAGGCUAGAGUUUGGCAGAGGGGGGUAGAAUUCCACGUGUAGCAGUGAAAUGCGUAGAGAUGUGGAGGAACACCGAUGGCGAAGGCAGCCCCUGGGUCAAAACUGACGCUCAUGCACGAAAGCGUGGGGAGCAAACAGG